AUUUACUCUAUUGGGUAGUAAGGUAUUAAUUUUAGAAUUUAAUGUUUUAUUAGUGACCUUUCAAUAUUCUUAUUUUUUCCUUAAAUUGUAAAAGAUAUUUUACCACUCGAAGAACACAAAUCAGUUUCGGUUGAAUUAAAACAAAGAGGACUUUUAAGCAGAUAUUCAACACACAAAAAAUAUUUGUGUACAUGAUUUUUUAAUAUAAAUAUAUAGGAAUGUUAAGUUUUGAGAAGUGAAUAUUUCUCUGUCUAACAAUUUUCAGUUGUUUCUUCUUCAAAUUCUUCAAAUUCAUUAUUUGAAAGAACAUAAGAGAUAAUUUCCUUGUUGAAUUUUUCAGCACAUUGCUAUUUAUCCAAAAUAUGAUUCAUCUUCAUAAAUGUAACUAAGAGAAAAAUGAAAUAUUAAUUUAUUGGAUUAAGACAAUGAUAAAUGUAUCCAUGCUUGAGAUACAAAGCACAAAUGAACACUUGUUUCCAAUUCACAUGUAGAGUAGUUUAAUGCAAGCAAUCAUUCUUAUCAUUACAUACAUAGAAGUACCUAAAGCAUGAGGAAAAUGGAGACAAAGAAAUCCGAUUUCACAACCAAUCAAAUCAAACAUGCAAGCACCGAAGAUCUUAAAAUAACUUAAAUAUCAACUAUUGACUUUCCUACAAUAAUUGAAUUAUCUUAAUAGACAUUAUGAUAAAGAGAUCAUCAAAACUUCUUUAAAAUGAAUUGUUGAGGUUCUAUCACCUUUUCAUUUUCAUUUUUAUUUCUUUAAGGCGACUUUCUAUACUCUUGAUUAUUUUUUGGAAGAUUUUUUUUAUUAGAAAUACACAAUAGGUUGUGGAAAGAAUUCCAAAAUGGAGGUCCAAGCGCCGAUGGAGCCCCUCGGAUUGGCCCCAAUUUUGGACAUGACCGCUUCAAAACCAAUAAAAAAUGGAAAAGAAGGAAUCAAAGAUAGCAACAAUUCAAAAUCCAUGCGCGAUAAAGAAGAACUCAAAGAUAACAACAUAUUAGAAAUGGAGCUCAAAAAAGAAGAAAUGAAAGAUGGCGAUGUAACUAAACCGACGUGUGAGAAGGAGGAAAUGAAAGAGAGUGGUAUUCCCAAAACAAAGCGAGAUAUAAUUAUAGACAAUACCCAACAAAUAUUGGAUAAAUUGGGUAAUAUCACAAAAGUAAUUGUUGAUAGAAAUGAGAAAUUAAAGGAACAAGGCAUUGUGGGUAAAGAAACCACUCAACUUAUUCAAACUAUGGAAGAAGCUCAAACUGCUUUCAAUAAAAUUGGCCAUGUCAAAGAUCCAUAAAAUUGUAUGUAAACAUUUAUUUUGUCAAGGGAUAAUUUUUUUGUAAAUGAAAAUAAAUAAAUAAAACCACUUCUAUUAAUAUUUCUUUAUUU